AAUCGAACCUUGCCAUUUUACUAUUGGUGGUGAUCUAAAAAAAAUUGUUGGGGGUGCACAGCUACCCUGUAAAACUAAACUCUUGUGAUUGGGAUAUGUUUUGGUUAUUCUGUAGGCUCAUCUACUUUGGUGGAUAUGGUCAUAAGCAACUUGAUGACAUCAAUAACAACAGAAGCUUCCUUAUGGACGAGGUGUCAUGGGUGGAUGACAUCUAUUGGGGAUGGAACAAUGAAGUCCAUAUGUUUGACCCAACAUCAGCCAGUUGGAGUGAACCACAUACCAGUGGUUGUGCACCUGACCCGAGAGCUGCCCAUGCCAGUGUAACACUUUGCCACAAAGGAUAUGUAUGUGGGGGCAGAAUAAGGG